UGCGUGAAAUUUCAUAAUUAAUCAAACUUAUACGCUCUUGGGUUGGGAAAGACUCGACUCGAACACCAGCACCAGCACCAGGAGAACGCAGAGCGUGACAAGGAUAUGGUUUAAAAGGGAUAAAAGUACUUGAGAGAACUUUAGAUGAAAAAAGCGGCAACAAUAACAGGCAGGAACAUAUUCUGAAAUUAAGCUUUCUACUUGGGCUAAAAGUGAUAAAAACAAACUUGAGAGAUCUUUGGAGUUGGGAGGACGAGAUAACUCCUUAGAGAUGAACAACUAACUAAGAUCAAGAAUAAAUAGUCUUGAUACAUGACUACGAAUUAAACUGGCUCCAGAUUGAAACACUUUUGACCAUAUAAAGUUUUUGGACUGGCAAGUGCAAAUAAUUGUAUAAUUAA